rnacentral:misc_RNA from 1 species
AAGAGUUAGGGUCCUCUGGGCCCGACCUCCCAACCCUUUGCUUACUGAACCUCUGUUGCUUCGGCGGACCCGCCUCACGGCCGCCGGAGGAUCGCCCCCAGGCGUCCUCUGGCCAGCGCCCGCCGACAGCCACUCUCAAAACUCUUGAAUAAAUCAUGUCAUUGUCUAAGUUAUGAUGCAAAUCAAUAAAGCA